ACAAGCUCUCCAUUUGGGAGCAGCUGGGAGCUACCCUCAUUUUCGCUAGGAGUUAGUCUCCCUUGUGGGCAUACCACGGGAAUGCCUUCAUGCCUGCUACUGGUUUUGGUCUGGGGGCAAUCAGCUCUGCUUACCCACCUCUCUGCUUGAGCAUUACUGGGCUACAUAGCUUCCAGGAGUUGUCACCAGCCCAACAGGGCAGGGAGGGCUGGAAAGCAUCCCCGACAGUGGCUGUGGUUGUGGUUUAGCACCUUGCCUGCGUGUGCGCAAACUGAGCUCUAGGACUGGCAAACCUUCUCAUUUAAGGAUGUGAGUCAAGGAGAUCUGCAUCCCUGCAAGUUCUUUGGUGCUUCUUCCGUUUGGUUCUGCAGAUGAACAAAACUGCUGGUUGGGAUUACUUCUUGGACACUGCAGACAUUGUUUCCAUCAGAUAGAUAACCCAGAGAGGACACCACAAAUCACAGAUCCAACUGAGAAUAAAACUUUGUGAUGCAACUUUGAGAGAGAGACAGAGCAUGAACGGGGGAAGGUCAGAGAGAGGGAGAC